UACGUAGGGGGCAAGCGUUGUCCGGAUUUACUGGGCGUAAAGAGCGUGUAGGCGGCCAACUAAGUCAUACGUGAAAUCCCUCAGCUUAACUGGGACUGCGUGUGAUACUGGAUGGCUUGGAUUUGGGAGAGGGAUGCGGAAUUCCAGGUGUAGCGGUGAAAUGCGUAGAUAUCUGGAGGAACACCGGUGGCGAAGGCGGCAUCCUGGACCAAUAGU
rnacentral:rRNA from 1 species